GCAUGGUAAUAGAUUUAUGGCGGCCCUUCUCUGAGGGCCUUUCAUAGUGUACCCAUGCCAGAAUAAACUGCAGCCUCGAACUAUAUUGCCCAGUCUCCUUACCCACUGGCUCUAAGCAUUGAAGGGGGUUGCACAGUG
rnacentral:snoRNA from 1 species